rnacentral:sRNA from 19 species
GCAGACGGCACUUAUUCUUGUAGUAGGCAGGCGCAUCGCAACAUGAGGGCAUAACCCUCGUGCGAAUUGCGGUGCGCCGAACACAGGUCCCUCAGGGGGCCUUUUUUAUUAUCCAAA